rnacentral:rRNA from 1 species
UAGGGAAUCUUCGGCAAUGGGGGCAACCCUGACCGAGCAACGCCGCGUGAGUGAAGAAGGUUUUCGGAUCGUAAAGCUCUGUUGUAAGAGAAGAACGUGUGUGAGAGUGGAAAGUUCACACAGUGACGGUAACUUACCAGAAAGGGACGGCUAACUACGUGCCAGCAGCCGCGGUAAUACGUAGGUCCCGAGCGUUGUCCGGAUUUAUUGGGGGUAAAGCGAGCGCAGGCGGUUUAAUAAGUCUGAAGUUAAAGGCAGUGGCUUAACCAUUUUUCGCUUUGGAAACUGUUAAGCUUGAGUGAAGAAGGGGAGAGUGGAAUUCCAUGUGUAGCGGUGAAAUGCGUAGAUAUAUGGAGAAACACCGGUGGCGAAAGCGGCUCUCUGGUCUGUAACUGACGCUGAGGCUCGAAAGCGUGGGGAGCAAACAGG